AAGGGGACACAUUUUUCAAUAGCCACAGCAGGAGACAAAUGUCAUAAUUCUUGUAAGUAAGUUGUCUCGUGAGGUCAUUCUAAGUUCCACGUGCCCUAAAAUCAUGUACUUACUGAAAAGCCUGACAAAACUGUUACGAAACUGUGCAACUGUCAGAAGAAAAGUUAUUCCACCUUAGAAUGUGCUCUUGUAUUUAAGACGCUUUUCAAGAAAUAAGUAUACAAACUGCACACUGACAAAUUCAGCUAAUCAAAGACUCCACAGUGGAGCACCAGAGAAGGCAGGACGCUUUGUCAAGUCUUGAACGUGUUAACAUGCGGUUUAUUAUCUGUUACAGAAAAUCUUUCUUGAGGUUAAGAAAAUCCAUCAGCUAUUCUACAUUUGUUAACAAGAAAUAAAAUUUUCAAAAAUUAUCGUUAAAAGGGUGUGUCUACAGGGAAAGACUGGUGCUCAAAUUGUGAAGCACAUGCCCUGAGGCUCACAGAUUUAUUAUAGCGAUCAGGCAGGCGACAGUACUUGAGAAAAGUACUGCAUGUGUAGUGAGGUGGACAACAUUUGGGACCUCUCCUUGUCGAGGAGUCGUGACAGCAAAAUCACUUCCUGAGGAAGGAGGAGCAAAAGGGAAGAGGCCAUCCUGACCAGGAAGUGACUCGCCCUAAACUAACCCCAAUUAUAUCUACAAAUGGGGGGAUGGGGGUUAGCCCCAACUGCUAAAGGCGGUAAAAUAACUGCUUUUUGAUAUGUCGCAACAUAACCACCACCCCCUCUCAAAAUUGCAGGAAAAAAGUCCACAGUCACGAUCUAAUAAAGGAAACGUCUGUUCCCUCGCAGGGAGGCCCCUGGGCUGUGCCUCAGGCCUGAGAGAAAAGGAGAGUCGAGGAACGAGGAACUGGGGCCACCGUGAGGCAGAGGAAAGCCCCGUAAGAGGGAAGCGUCCCGACUGCGGAGAGCGUAUGUCAGCAUGGACAAAGAAGCUUCUUUUUCUUGGGGACACUGCGAGGCUCCCAACGCAGCCGGGCCGAGCCCCAGUUCCCUGUCGGGGGAGGAGGUAGGAGAGAGAGGCGGACCCCUUACCUUCUCCUCAUCCGACACACGAUCAUCGAAGUCGGCCAUCUUGGGCUGUUCUGGCCCAGCCCGGCUGUGGGCGCUAGGCAGGCCGGGAAGAAAGCCGAGUGAUGGAAUCACCGCGGGGGCCGUCGGAAGGACCCGCCCGGAAACGCCGACCAAGAGGGCGCCAUGUCAGUUAUGCGCGGGAGUGACGUCUCCUAGUGCCAGCGCCCGCGCCCGCGCCCGCGCCCGCGCCCCAGGAAUGACUGUAUUUUUAAAUUCAUUGACACCCAAAUUCUAUGUGGCACUUACAGGGACAUCUUCAUUGAUAUCAGGACUAAUAUUUGUAUUUGAAUGGUGGUACUUCCAUAAGCAUGGCACAUCUUUUAUUGAGCAAGUAUCUGUAAGCCAUUUGCAACCACUGAUGGGAGGAACAGAGAGCAGCAUUUCAGAACCAGGGUCUCCUUCGAGGAACAGAGAAAGUGAAACCAGCAGACAGAAUUUGUCAGAAUGUAAGGUAUGGAGAAACCCUCUAAAUCUUUUCAGAGGAGCAGAAUAUAGGAGAUACACUUGGGUGACUGGUAAAGAGCCACUUACAUACUAUGACAUGAACCUGUCAGCUCAGGACCAUCAGACCUUUUUCACCUGUGACACAGAUUUUUUACGUCCUUCAGACACAGUUAUGCAGAAGGCCUGGAGGGAAAGAAAUCCUCCAGCUCGAAUCAAAGCAGCCUAUCAAGCUUUAGAAUUGAACAAUGACUGUGCCACUGCAUACGUUCUACUGGCUGAGGAAGAAGCAACAACUAUUGUAGAUGCUGAAAAGUUAUUUAAACAGGCACUCAAGGCAGGAGAAACAAUUUAUAGGCAGUCACAGCAGUGCCAGCACCAAAGUCCUCAGCAUGAAGCUCAACUGAGGAGAGAUACCAAUGUACUGGUAUAUAUUAAAAGAAGAUUGGCAAUGUGUGCAAGAAAGUUAGGAAGAAUAAGAGAAGCAGUAAAAAUAAUGAGAGAUUUGAUGAAAGAAUUUCCUCCUCUUACCAUGUUGAACAUCCAUGAAAAUCUCUUAGAAUCACUUUUAGAAUUACAGGCCUAUGCAGAUGUUCAGGCAGUCCUAGCAAAAUAUGAUGAUAUAAGCCUUCCAAAGUCAGCAGCAAUCUGUUACACAGCAGCACUGUUGAAGACAAGGACUGUUUCAGAAAAAUUCUCUCCAGAAACAGCCUCCAGAAGAGGAUUAAGCACAGCAGAAAUUAAUGCCGUGGAAGCAAUUCAUAGAGCUGUGGAAUUUAAUCCUCAUGUUCCAAAACCUUUCAUCAUGUUUCUGUUUACCCAAAGAAGGAGCUUCCUUUGUUCAUCCAUUUCACAGCAGGAUUUUGCUCUUCUACAGCAAUGAUAGCCAUUCUCACACACCAGUUUCCUGAAAUCAUGGGUAUUUUUGCUAAAGCUGUGCUGGGACUCUGGCGCCCCCAACCCUGGGCAUCCUCAGGCUUUGAGGAGAAUACACAAGAUUUGAAGUCAGAAGAUCUAGGUUUGAGUUCUGGCUGAGCCAUGCACAGUUCAUUUGACCUUGGACCAAUCACCAAAUUCUUCUGAACAGCAUCUGUAAAGUGACAGUAACCCCUACCUCACAGGGUUGUUGUGAGGAUUACGUAUAUGCUAAAGCAUUCUGUAUAUGAAAAAGCUUCUUAUGAACAUUAUUGUUAUUCCUGGGGAAACCCCACCUUGGAAGCUGUCAAAAAGGACAACUGUAGAUGAAGUUGUCUUCCUUUUUUCUUCAUUCAGCGUAGCCUUUCUGUUUGGCCAGGGCUGCUUACAGGAGCUGUUAGCUGAAGUAAAGUCACCACAUUUUGGCUCCUUUGGUCAAAGAGAAAGAACUCUAAUGUCCAGCUGCUCCAUCCAUAUACCCAUAGAAUGGAAGUGAGUAAAGGAAAAUUUUAAGCCAGGAUAGUUAACAGUUAGGGGGCCAAUGGGAGAAUGCUUGCCUUGCAUUUGCAAAUCCAGAAUGACUAAAACAUCUUAAGUAAAUGAGAAAUAGCCACAAAGAUGCUCAGAGAUAAUAUAAGCCAUGAGUGGGAAGUGGGAAAAUGAGUUUGUAAACUCCUCUCUUUUCUAUCCCUUUACCUUUGAGGUCAGGGACAGGCAUACAGCCCACUGGCUAUUGCCCUAUACCUACCAAUCACCCAAAGAAAAUAAUAGCUUCUGAGAAAGCUCAAUUCACUGUAGCAACUGUGAUAUAUUUACCCUAAUAAAGCCACCACUUGGUCUUUUCCAGUGCUUCUCUCUUACGGAGGUCAUCCCUGGAAUCCAAAGCUAUCCAGUUUUCUAACCCAGUUAAGAGUUUAAAACCACCACAGGUCAUAAGCAGUAGGCUUGGCAGUUAUACCUUAUGCAGUCAUAGGAGACUGUCCCAUCAUUCUCAGCACAUAGGGUGCACAUCUCACUGUCUCCAGCAUGAACCAGCCUUGUGAAUGUGUACAGUCUCAGCCACUCUGCUUUGGUGAUAAUUCUUCACCACUGAUCUCUCCUCGCCAUGCCCUUUCUGCAUCCUUCCCCCAACCACCCACCAGCGGAGUUCUGGUCCCCAAACCAAAGAGUUGCCUGCAGGUUGGUAAUGUAACUUUGUAGAUAUUCCUUGAUUACAGCUAGACCCUAUUGGUAUCCUUUUUGAAUUACUGGAUCGAAAUCUAAUUGCUUUUUUUUUUUAAAUUGUUGGGGAGAGGAGGAUGAACAGAACUCCUAUGCAGCCUGAGAGAAGUUCUGUAUGUGUCUAUAUAUGUACACGUGUGUGUGUGUGUGUGUGUGUGUGUGUAACCUCAUGGUUGUGCUCAGGCUGACAGGGAGGGCAAAGAGUGAAAAGGAACCAUCUCUUUCUUGUUUUCCAACAUUGCUUCAAAGAUGCCCAACCCCCGUAGUAGCAGGCGGUUCCCAAGUGGAGGGUCGGGGCAGAGGCCUCCACCAAGGCCAUCAAUAACCAGGUGUGAGCUACAGGUCUCUGUGUAAUGUGAAGCUUUCCCGUAUUUCAUUUCUGCACCCAGGGGGCGGCUCUGCAGGAUUGCUUACGGAGAGCUCUGUGUCUGGCACCUCUCUCCGCAAGGCCCAGGCGCCCAGGGUCCCACCGACCUGCCCAGGAAUGCAUCACAUUGUUCUCUGGUGCUGUAAUUUGGCUGCAGGAGCUAGGCUGAAUGCCUACCAGGGAUGAGAAACAUACUCUCCCUGGCGUCCUCCCUUCACCCCAGCUAGCUUGAGCUUCUGCCCUAUGACCACUGAGUGCAUUUAAAUAAAAACCUCAGAAAGACUGAGGAAAAAAAAUCCUAAUUAUCUCUCUUCUAUUAAGCCAUGUAGAGACUCGUGUCCUGAGUGGGUCUGAGAAUUUGGCAAAGACUUAGUGGUUGGUGUUCUUGAUAAGGGAAGUGAGAGAAAGGAGAAGAAAUUACUCCCUGCAACAGGGAGGAAUAGAAAUGAAGCAGUGAGUGUUCAGAAGUUAGAUCUACAAGAAGUUUUGCAGACAGACCCUCAGGGCCAGGCAAUGUUUGUUUUUGUUUUUGUUUUUUAAUCUGAAGCCCUUGAUUUUAUUUUUACAGCAUCACUCUAAGGAAGAGUGUGGAUUACUGCCAUUAUUCAGGGCUGGUAAUAAUAAAAGUUAGCUUUUAUCUGCAGGGCUAGGUUAAGGCUGGCAUUCUUACUUUUACAUAAAAAAACUGGCUACAGGCUGUGCAGCUGAGGUACUUCAGUCAUGUGCCUUCUCUAAAGGAUUCUUAGAUCCUUAAAAUAUAUAGUAUCUUUUAAGUUUGUAUCUAAAUAGCACUUACUGUAAUGUAUUAUACCUAAACGUUUAUUAAAAGUUAGAAGAAAUGAGUACCAACAGGAAGGAAUGGAAGAGAGGAGACGGGCUAAGACAUUGCUGAUCUGAGGGACAGACCUCUAUCAAAUAGAGGGCUGGGAGAAGUGGUGAUUAGAAGCAGAGUGAGGGAACUAAAUGGAGCCCUGACUGUACCAAAUAAAGUUCUCAUUUUGCUGCUUGUUCCAAAUAAA